UACGGAGGGGCUAGCGUUGUUCGGAAUUACUGGGCGUAAAGCGCGCGUAGGCGGAUCUGCAAGUCGGGGUGAAAUCCCGAGGCUCAACCUCGGAACUGCCUUCGAAUACUGCGGGUCUCGAGUCCGGGAGAGGUGAGUGGAAUUCCGUAGUGUAGAGGUGAAAUUCGUAGAUAUUAGGAAGAACACCAGUGGCGAAGGCGGACU
rnacentral:rRNA from 1 species